CGGACCAAGUACCUGGAGGAAAGGUUGGAGUUUUAUACAAAACACUAUGAAUGCAACAACAUCACGAAUAACUCCAAACUGACAUCACACAACAAGAUCAAAUCUUUUCUUUGUCGCAUUGAUCAAGUAAAAAGCUAAUGCCAAUUUG